rnacentral:rRNA from 1 species
CCUACGGGUGGCAGCAGUGAGGAAUAUUGGUCAAUGGGCGCUAGCCUGAUCCAGCCACGUCGCGUGAAUGAUGACUGCCCUCUGGGUUGUAAACUUCUUUUAUAUGGGAAUAAAGUGCAGUAUGUAUACUUCUUUGCAUGUACCUUAUGAAUAAGGAUCGGCUAACUCCGUGCCAGCAGCCGCGGUAAUACGGAGGAUCCGAGCGUUAUCAGGAUUUAUUGGGUUUAAAGGGAGCGUAGGCGGGUUGUUAAGUCAGUUGUGAAAGUUUGCGGCUCAACCGUAAAAGUGCAGUUGAUACUGGGAGCCGUGAGUGCAGUAGAGGUAGGCGGAAUUCGUGGUGUAGCGGUGAAAUGCGUAGAUAUCAGGAAGAACUCCGAUUGCGAAGGCAGCCUGCUGGACUGUAACUGACGCUGAUGCUCGAAAGUGUGGGUAUCAAACAGGAUUAGAUACCCGAGUAGUC